UAUGCUUUUUAAUUAGGUUAUUUGGUACUCCUCUGUUCAACUGUAUACAUCAUUUAAAUAUAAUCAGUAAUUCUUCAGUGUGUAGGAACUCUUAAUGUAAUCAAAAUGAAAUAUUAUCAUGAUCGCUUUUGAAAGAAUGAGGAUUUAGAGCUAGGAAGGAGGGAGAAAGCCGUAACUUUUCCAGUGGCUUCUAGCAAUCAAAGAAGUAGCACAAACAAUUUGUUGAUGAGUGAUGCCCUAACAAGGUACGCUUUAAACCCAAUUAGGUAAGAACUUGACUCACGCUGUUUGCGGAGGGAGGCACUGUAAUUGAUUUCAGAGGGUUGGUAUUGCACUCUGGAUACCUUUAGAAGAUAUUUUUAUGCUGGGCCUGGGAGUUGAUGGCCCCGAGAACUUUGCUGCUGAUGAAUUUCUGUGUGGGACUCUUGUAGCAUAGCACUGUAAGUGACCGUGGAGCCCUCGUCUGCCUCCUGGCUGGCCACUUUGUUUGGCCGCCCCUUCUGUUUCACUGCACUAAAAGCCUUACGGUUGUUAAGCAUCAGGGCAAGUGAAGGAUAAUUCAACGGAUGAGAGAGAUGAAGCUUGAUGAAAAUGUGCCACAGUGGUUUCUCUCUGGAUCUGAAUUGUGUCUCUGAUUGGAUCUUUGGGGUUAUGAAGAGUUCUUCCACCAGGGGACUCUAAACUGAGGUACAGCAUUGAGGGUUUGUGCAUCGGCUCUCACUGCUGUCAAGUGAAUCAAAACUUGGAGCUGUUACCCAGGUCUCUAAAGCUGCUCCACCAUGGUGGUGAGCUGCUCUGGGAUGGGCUCCGAGAGGAAGAGACUCCUCUGACCUCCUCUUGUCUCUCAUCUACGUCUGUGCUCUGAUCCAAACUCCCUUUUGCUGCAGUCUUGGUUGAGUUCCUAAAAACUAUCUUUGUGAUUUUUGUCCUUUUGUGAUUUCAUUGGGAAUUGAAGUCUGAUGAGAGAGGUCUUUCAGGUGCUUCAAAAUAAGCCAAUAGUCUCAGUAUUUUUGGCACGAAAAUGUUUUAUUUUGUUUUUAGUAAAAAACCUUUAAGAAUUAUACCCCUUAGUACUAAGAUGUCAGAAGCUUGUGUUAGUAUGUUAUUUUGGUGUGAUUUUUAGGGUAUGAUUUUCCUUAUUUCACAACAUGCGUUGGCAGUUUAUGGUGUGUAAAUCUAGGGGAACCCCUGGUACCUUCAGGAUCUGCCUGCCUGAUGAAAGCUGAGGUUCACAGAGGUUCACUAGCACAAACUUUUGCAUUAAAACUCGGCUCGUGUAUCACAGAGGCUAGAGGGUUGGUUCAUUUUUUUUUCCCCUGCCUUUGAGGGGAAAAGGUCUGUUUAUAACCAGAUUUUUAUGUAGGUUUCUGUGGGGGGUGUUAUUGACAGCUGCCUCGGAGUUUAUAUACUGUUGAUAGAAGAAGAAAUCUCAUCUUUCUUUUGAGUGUUGAGUUAGUAUGAAUAUUUGGAAGCAGAUGUUUUUACUACUGUCCAUGUUUGAUUGCCUCACAGAAAUAAUGAUAUUUGCUUUUAUUGAUUCAAUCCAGUGUGACUUUUAAAACAUAAAUAUUCCUUUAAGAAACUAAAAAUGCAUCAAUAACUAUUACAAUGUCAAAAAUUUGAUCCAGCUUAGUCAUUUAGAAAAAUACAAAGUAGUUUCUAAGUGGAUAAUACCAAAUCGAAGUCUAAAUCCAAGUGAAAAAUAGGUUUUGUCUCCAGAAUGAUUCUUUCUUCACAGAAUUUGAUACUAAGCUAUUGUAGAUAUGUCUCGCCUUGAAAGUUUUUUUU